UUGCGGCCACACUAAGUUGAAAGACCUGUUCCAGUACGAUCACCGAAGAUAAGCAAUGUCUUGCUCAAUCAGUACCUAGAUGACUGACCGCUUGGGAAUAGCAAGUGAUGUAAU